UGCCCAAUCCUAAGCCCUGCGAGGUCUUGUGGAACCGACAUGACCCACUCUUUGGUUUGUCCAGAGACAGUGAGCAGGUAAGAGUCUCUGCUGAAGUGGACCGGCUGAAGGUGACGUUUGAGGAUGCCACUGACUUUUUUGGCCGUGUGGUCAUCUACCACCUGCGGGUGCUUGGGGAGAAGGGGACAAACAGGGACCCUUGCAGAGACCUGCAUUACAGAGCAAAGCUGGGAGAACCGAGGACUCACCCCAGGAACCUCAACUUCCCCUAAGUUUGUAAAAAUGCACUUUUGUAGCUUUUCAGAAUUAAUAUAAAAAUAUUUCCUACCAAGCAAAA
rnacentral:lncRNA from 1 species